rnacentral:lncRNA from 1 species
AGGACCAGCACGGUUGUGAGGAGGUGGAGCAGCCCCACCACAAGAAGGAGUGCUACCUGAACUUCGAUGACACAGUGUUCUGCGACAGCGUAUUGGCCACCAACGUGACCCAGCAGGAGUGCUGCUGCUCUCUGGGGGCCGGCUGGGGCGACCACUGCGAAAUCUACCCCUGCCCAGUCUACAGCUCAGCCGAGUUCCACAGCCUCUGCCCAGACGGAAAGGGCUACACCCAGGACAACAACAUCGUCAACUACGGCAUCCCAGCCCACCGUGGUAAGCGCCCUGCGGCUCCGCCCGCCCCGCGCCCUCUCACCCCGGGUUGGGCUCGCCCGGAUCCCGCCGGGACU